CACUAAGAAGCUAUUAAGCAACAGCCUUUUAAGCUGCAGAUAGGUGACUCCCUCACCCUCAGUGA
rnacentral:tRNA from 1 species